UCUUCGUUUCCAAGCCGCCAGGGACUUCUGCGAUCGGAUCUUUCCAUCGCACGGUCGCGCCGCCAGGGAUUGCUGUGAUCGAAUCAUUCCCAUCGCGCGUCCGCGCCGCCACCGAUAAGCGGAGAAGGGAAGGGGACGCCCAGACAAGGAGGCGUCGAUCUAUGGACCACGAACACGUUGCCGGAAGGCUUAACGCAUUGAUGAGCGGUAAAAACAUGAGGGGAAAAAGUAGACAUGAAGAGGAAGAAAGCGGAAUUGAUUCAAGCUCUCAAUCAUCGAAGCAUGAUGCCACUGCAAACGGCAUGCAACCUAGCGAAGGGGAGCAGCCUAAUCCAAACUAAGUCUAAAGAUUUUUAUUAAUGUCAUGAGAGUGGAGUUGGCAAUUCGGCUUCUUGAACAUCUCAGGUGGUCGGGCGGCUUGAGGCCACGGCGGCUCACAGCACGGAGGCUGAGAAGAAACUGCGGCAGACGCAGAACGGCCGCAGAGGAAAGCAAAGUGUGAUUGGGCAAGCAGCAUUGAUUCCUCCUCCGGGUCGUGAUUGAUUUAACCUCGUAUUCUUGCCAAACCAAAAUAUUAGUCCAUGGCGUUGACUUGUCCGACCCAAGGGUGUAGCCUUGGUCGUGAAAAAACGGUUUCAAUGGCUCCGUACAUU